rnacentral:misc_RNA from 1 species
AACGCACGAGACCUGCGGACCUGCGGAGGGAUCACUAGUGAACGCCCUCACGGGCUUAUAACUAUUCCAAACCUCUGUGAACCGUGCCCUUCGGGGCUAUUUUACAAACAUGGUGUAAUGAACGUCAUAUAUCAUAACAAAACAAAACUUUCAACAAUGGAUCUCU